rnacentral:rRNA from 1 species
UACAGAGGUCCCGAGCGUUGUUCGGAUUCACUGGGCGUAAAGGGUGCGUAGGUGGUUGUGCAAGUCUGAUGUGAAAUCUCCGGGCUUAACCCGGAAAUGGCAUUGGAAACUGCAUGGCUAGAGGGUUGGAGGGGGGACUGGAAUACUUGGUGUAGCAGUGAAAUGCGUAGAUAUCAAGUGGAACACCAGUGGCGAAGGCGAGUCCCUGGACGACACCUGACACUGAGGCACGAAAGCUAGGGGAGCAAACAGG